UACGUGAGAGGCAAGCGUUAUUCGUCAUUAAUGGGUCUAAAGGGUACGUAGGCGGUAUAGUUAAUCUAUUUUUUUUACACCUAAGAGUGGAAUUUAUAUUAUUAUACUAGAGUUAAAGGGAGUAACAAAUACAUCGAGAAGAGGGAUUUAAUACUUAGAUACUCGAGGGGUUGCGAAGCGGCGAAAGCAUGUUACUAUGGAAGACUGACGCUGAGGUACGAAGGCAAGGGUAGCGAUAGGG
rnacentral:rRNA from 1 species